CGGCACAGUGCCCUUAGAAUAACCAAUGGUCGCGCAUGUUACAUACUGUCAGUCAUUUGCGCAUCCAACAUGGCUUCUCUAACAUUUUACGAAUGCUAGGCAGAGUCUAGAUUAUCAGUAGAUGUGCCUGCCCAUAUAAUCGAACAGACUACACCAGAACCAUUGGCAUCACAGGAGGUUGUCACCUUGUCCAACACUGAAAAAGUCUUUAGAGUUUUUGAGCAGGGAUUCCAGCAGGAUAUAAAAGACCUUGCCUCAGAAUUUUCACACGUGUCUGAUACUGAGAUAACACAGGAUUCUGUAAAUCGUGUGCUUGAAAGUCCUUACAUCAGGCUCUUGAAAUUGCGAUUUAACACUCUUCCUGACAAACAGGACUUUAACCCCGUUAUUGAUGAGGAGUGUUUUGAAUAUCCAGAUGAACUUUUGAAUUUUAACAGACUGAUGAUUUUCAUAAGAGACAUACAAUAAAGCCUUUAUUUAGAAGUAAGCUGCUAUUGAUGAAUAAAGCAAUGUUAUUA